rnacentral:rRNA from 1 species
GAUGAACGCUGGCGGCGUGCCUAAUACAUGCAAGUCGAGCGAACAGACGAGGAGCUUGCUCCUCUGACGUUAGCGGCGGACGGGUGAGUAACACGUGGAUAACCUACCUAUAAGACUGGGAUAACUUCGGGAAACCGGAGCUAAUACCGGAUAAUAUAUUGAACCGCAUGGUUCAAUAGUGAAAGACGGUUUUGCUGUCACUUAUAGAUGGAUCCGCGCCGCAUUAGCUAGUUGGUAAGGUAACGGCUUACCAAGGCGACGAUGCGUAGCCGACCUGAGAGGGUGAUCGGACACACUGGAACUGAGACACGGUCCAGACUCCGACGGGAGGCAGCAGUAGGGAAUCUUCCGCAAUGGGCGAAAGCCUGACGGAGCAACGCCGCGUGAGUGAUGAAGGUCUUCGGAUCGUAAAACUCUGUUAUUGGGGAAGAACAAAUGUGUAAGUAACUAUGCACGUCUUGACGGUACCUAAUCAGAAAGCCACGGCUAACUACGUG